UACGGAGGGAGCUAGCGUUGUUCGGAAUUACUGGGCGUAAAGCGCGCGUAGGCGGCUUUGUAAGUUAGAGGUGAAAGCCCGGAGCUCAACUCCGGAACUGCCUUUAAGACUGCAUCGCUUGAAUCCAGGAGAGGUGAGUGGAAUUCCGAGUGUAGAGGUGAAAUUCGUAGAUAUUCGGAAGAAACACCAGUGGCGAAGGCGGCUCACUGGACUGGUAUUGAACGCUGAGGUGGCGAAAGCGUGGGGAGCAACAGG
rnacentral:rRNA from 1 species